UACGUAGGGCGCAAGCGUUGUCCGGAAUUAUUGGGCGUAAAGAGCUCGUAGGUGGUUUGUUACGUCUGCUGUGAAAACCUAGGGCUUAACCCUGGGCCUGCAGUGGAUACGGGCAGACUAGAGGUAGGUAGGGGAGAAUGGAAUUCCCGGUGUAGCGGUGAAAUGCGCAGAUAUCGGGAGGAACACCGGUGGCGAAGGCGGUUCUCUGGGCCUUACCUGACACUGAGGAGCGAAAGCGUGGGGAGCGAACAGGAUUAGGAAACCCU
rnacentral:rRNA from 1 species